GAAAAGAUGGAAGAGCGGAAGACAGAGUCACGUUCACGUUGGUUGGUUCCUUCCCAACAUAUGCAUGACAUGAUCAUGGAGUUGUUUUUUCAAAGGGACCCAUUAUGCCCGUUUGGUUCAUAACAGAAUUGACCUGGUUUCUUAAAUGCCCUGAAGAUGCAGUCUCUAAUUGAAGAUGGCAACCAAACCCCCACCUGUUGAUAUUCAUGGCCUAAAUCGAGCUAUUUUAUAAGAAGCAUUGAAAAAGACUGAUGGGAUUUGAGACUCUGAGAGUGUUAAAUGUUGGGGUUGCUGGUUUCUAUAUAUUGAAUCCUUAAAAGUUCAAUUAGGAUCUGUAAAUUUCUUUCUGUUUUAGAAAAUGGAGGAAGAAGGCAAAUCUUUAGCCAUUACCCCGACAUGGGCUUUGGCUUCAGUAAUCACUUUUAUGGUUUCUUUAGGGUUCUUCUUUCAAUUCUCUUUGGAACGAUUUGGAAAGUGGUUGGAUAGGACUAAGAGGAAAGCACUACUUUCAGCUUUGGAGAAGAUCAAAGAUGAGCUAAUGCUUUUUGGGCUUUUGUCAUUGCUGAUGGGUCACUGGGUUGUAUUUGUGGCCAAGAUUUGUGUGAAAUCAUCAGAUAUGAGCAGCAGAUUUUUCCCAUGUGCAAUUAUUGAUGAGUUCAAAUUAGAAGAACACAGUCUUGAUUCAGCUGCUAGUUAUACCAAUGAUUCAACAGCUAGACAUGAUUUACACACCUUUGUUCGUCGCCAUGGUCAUUGCCCUGAGGGUCAUGAGCCAUUUGCUUCACAAGAAAGUUUGGAGCAGCUUCACAGAUUGAUGUUUGUUCUCGGGGUUAUCCAUGUAUUAUAUAGCUUUAUUGCCAUUACCCUGGCUAUGAUUAAGAUUUAUGGUUGGAAUAUUUGGGAAAAAAAUGCUAAGGCCAUGGCUAUUCUGAGUGCACAAGAUUCUGAGCAAGCUGAAUUUCACAAUAGAAGAAUGACAAGACUAGCUACCUUCAUUUCUCACCGUACAUCCCAUCCAUGGAGUCAGCAUGGAGUUCUUGUUUGGCUGCUUUGUUUCAGCCGUCAAUUCUGGAGUUCUGUAAAUUAUGCUGAUUAUAUGGCUUUGCGAUAUGGAUUUAUCACUACACAUGAUCUUCCUUUGACAUAUGAUUUUCAUAACUUUAUGCUUCGAAGCAUGGAGGAAGAAUUUCGAGAUAUUGUUGGCAUUAGCUUGCCUCUCUGGAUCUAUGCUAUAUGUUGCAUUUUUCUAGAUUUCCAUGAAACUUAUGUUUACUUUUGGCUCUCAUUUCUUCCGGCGAUUUUAGUAUUGGUAAUCGGUACAAAACUUCAUCGAGUAGUGGUCAAGUUGGCUGUUGAAAUCAUGGAUACAGAUACUGGGGUAGGAACUCUUCAAUAUCAGUUCAAUCAGUUAAACUUGAGGGACGAGCUCUUUUGGUUUGGGAAGCCUAAACUUCUUUUGUGGUUAAUACAAUUAAUAUCAUUUCAGAAUGCUUUUGAAAUGGCAACGUUCUUAUGGUCCCUGGUAUACUCUGCAUUUUGGAGUUCAUGGUGCUAAUUUUAGUUUCUACGCCAGUGGGAAGUCAAAGGAACAUCUUGUUUUAUGAGUAACAAAUUUUUCGUUGGAAUCCGCUUGACAUUUGGGGUAAUAACUCAAUUCUGGUGUAGCUUCAUCACAUUCCCACUCUAUGUAAUUGUUAGGCAGAUGGAUGCAAGAUUCAAGAAAAGUAUAGUCUCUGAAAAUGUAAGGAAAUCUCUACAUGGAUGGAAAAGGAGAGUAAGGGCGAAGAAUUUACAUAGUGCACCGAUUAGAUCCAAUCCUACGAUUGCAAGUACAAGCAGGGGAAUGCCUGGGAAGCAAGCAAGAGUCUCUACUCUACAAUCUAAUAGUAAUGAAAUAUCUACGAAUGAGAUGCUUCCACUCCAUUUUUAUUUUCAGCAUGACAUUAAUGGUGAUGGUGAUCAUGAUCAUGCUAUUAAAGAAGAUGAUGAAGAUUUUGUUUGAAAAUCUUAAAGUUCUUCUAGUAAAUGCAGCCUACUUAGACUAAUGACUCUUCUGAAUCUAAAUGCGCGAGCGUUCUUGUUGGUUCGGCUUUUCUUUAAUGUUUUAUACAUUCACCAAUUUCCUUUUCUCUACUAAAAUUUUAACUUUGGAAAGAGAUUAUUUUUUUCUAA